UCUACUUACGUGAGUUCCCAGAAAUAAAACUGUGAGGGCGUGGCUGGGUCCCAAAGCAGAUAAUAUCGUGCUACGGUAGAGUCGAGCCCAAAAUGUGGUAGGGGCUCGGGUCGAGAUGUGACAAUAAGGGCAUGACUAGCCCAUGAUGGGUGCCUUGUUAAAACCUAGUCAGGUGACAAAAACUCAAUGGGAAAAAUGCUCCUAAUCGUAGGAAAAAGAAUAUAUUAAGGUCAAGUGAGUAUACUUCUGGAUACUCCUUUUGUGGCUAAACUUCCAAAUGAAAAUUACAAGCAUUGUAUUACGCAUACAAAUUCCUCGGACCAGUCUAUUAGGUUAACUUCAACAGUGACUUUGUAAAGAGGUUGGCAAGGUUGUCUUGGGAUCGGAUUUGUUCGACUUCAAUUUUCUGAUGCUCUGUUGAUGUAAGAAAAGCACAAUAUGCUUGGUGUUGAUUUUGUUGAUGUAUCAUAUUUUGUUUCGGUCGACAUUGUCAUCAUAGAUCGUCGUUGGGACUCAAUGAUGGAUGAAAAAUGUAGGUACUUCAAAUAUGUUGAACAAUAGCUCUCAACCAUGUCUCCCACAUGUGGUGUAGUGAGGUGUGGUGAGUUUUGGAACAAUUCGAAGAUUUUGUAACUAAGUUACAUUUCAUGGACCUCCAAGAUAUUGUGGCAUCUUUUAUGGUCAUAAUUUGGAAACAUGCCUUGUGUUGGUUUGAUAAGUAACAUGCGUCGUCAGCAUAACAAACAAGACAAGCAUCAUUCAAAUGAUUAAUGGGUUGGACCUGCUCGAGAUACAUAAGGAUAAGUCCAAAUUCGUAUUACCUUUAGGAUAAUGGAAAUUUGUCUUUAAUGCCAAUUCAAUAGCUACGUGUAGCUGCAAUGCUGCAUCUUUACCAAUUUAUCAAUAGUGAAGGAGAUCUCUUGUAUAAUGCAAUGAACUAAGUACAAUAAAGCACAAAGUUGAACUUAAGUAUGGAAAUUUUGGUUCCACAAUCUCUUCAAGGGUCUUAUUUGCAUCUAACGUAUGGAUAAUCAAGGGUGUACUUUGUUUGUACCAUACUU
rnacentral:lncRNA from 1 species